rnacentral:rRNA from 1 species
AUUGAACGCUGGCGGCAGGCUUAACACAUGCAAGUCGAGCGGAAACGAUGGGAGCUUGCUCCCAGGCGUCGAGCGGCGGACGGGUGAGUAAUACAUAGGAAUCUGCCCAGUAGUGGGGGACAACUUCGGGAAACCGGAGCUAAUACCGCAUACGCCCUACGGGGGAAAGCAGGGGAUCUUCGGACCUUGCGCUAUUGGAUGAGCCUAUGUCGGAUUAGCUUGUUGGUGAGGUAACGGCUCACCAAGGCAACGAUCCGUAGCUGGUCUGAGAGGACGACCAGCCACACUGGAACUGAGACACGGUCCAG